GUCCUCCGCCGCCCGCCGCCCGUCCCUUCGGAAGCGCCGAUUCCUCGGGGAGGAGGAGGCGUGAGGGGAGGCGGCGGAGGCAGCCGGCACGGGGCGCUCGGGCCGCGGGGCAGGGGGCGCGGGGUGCCUCCUCGGCCUCGGCUCUCCCCGCCCCGGGGCGCCCCGAGACCGCCGCCUGCCUCCGCGGGCAGCUUUGUUCUUCUUUCCUCCAACUACCUGUCUGAGCCGCGGGCCCCAGAGGCCCCAAAGAGAGGCCCGGAGGGUCUCCCCAGCAGCAUCCGAGGGGCGCUCUCGGGGAGCUAGGGGCCAGAGUCCGCGGUCCCUCCGUGCCUGCCUCCCUCCCCUCGUGCCUCGGUCUUUUGUUGCCUCUACUCCUCGGCACGGCGCAGCCUGGGCUCUCUUCCCCCUCCCGCUUGGGAGUUUGCAGUGUGGACGCUCGGCAAGCACACCUGUCUUGAAGGAGUACCACCUGUCUUCAGCCUGCUAAUGAAAAUUGGAAUUCUCUGAGGAAAGCUCUGUCAUCUAGAAUCUUCUGACCAGUGGAUGAGUCAGCUCAGGGCCUCUUCUCUGCAUCUUCCUUGGACUCGGACUGUGGGAAGCCCUGUGGAAAGCAGGAUGAUCUAACAGCAGGAUAAAGAUUGUUUUUGUUAUCAUGUCCCAUGGCUAAAAAUUACCCACUGCUUUUCCUUCUUAAACUGGGAUCCUCAACUUGGAAUCUCUGGCUAUUAAUAAAGUCUGGAGAGAGCAAUAGAGUGCAUUGGUUAGGACCUCAAGCAUCAGCAGACCUAAAUCUGAGUUAUCACUUUAUCACUAACUGUGAGAGCUUGGACACAAUGCUUGCCAUCUCUUCACACCAUCCACUCACAUGUGCAAUGGUGUAAAAAUCACAACUACUCAGAGGUAGUUGUAAGGAUGAAAAUAGAUAAUGUGCAAAGUCCGUAGAACAGUGUGUGGCAUGCAGCUUAGUGAGGGCUCCACAAAUUGUAGGUUUGGUAUUAUUUUGCAUAAGCACUCUAUUAGGCAGAAGCUGAUCGUUUAUAUAUCUGAGCUACCCACUAAACUUAUUCAUCCAUUGUCUUAUUCAUUUAUUCAUUUGAUAAACAUUUUUGAACACCUGUUGUGAGCCAAGCACCUUCCGGGAUUUGGGGAUACAGUGUGACCAAGCCAGGUGAGACCCCAGCCUCCUCAGAGCUCAUUUUGGUAGACUCUGAGCUCCUAGAGAGGGAGAUCCCAUCCCUGUAUCUCACAUAGAGCCUAGCACAGCACUAUACCCAGAAGAGAUCCUUUCAAAAUGCUGUUAAAGAAUGACUGGGUAAGUGACACGCCUAAAAAGUGGGGAGAAAAGUCAGGUGUGGUUGCUUCCCCUCUGCUGUUACUGGGACUCAGCUACCGUUAGGAGUAGCCCCUCUAAUAUACGCAGAUGGACCAAGACCGAAGCUGACCAUCCUGAGUUCUGUGCCAGGAACUCCUUCCCAGGGAGCACAGAAGGAAAGUGCUGGGCCCUGGAGAGAUGCCAGUCACUCCGACAAUGGUCUUCAUCUUAAUUGCAGUAUGUAAUUCAGCACUAGGUUCCAAGUGGCAGCCACACUGAGGUUGUUUUCCCACAUAACUCAAUGUUCUUUUCAUUGCCAUGGUAUAUGAGCAAACUGUUCAGCUGUGAGUGAGUUCAGGGGAAGGAAAUAUAAGAUUAGACUGCCAUGCGUACUGAAAGGCAGAAAAGCUUCCAUAUUAUGGAGCAAUAAAUUAAGGAAUAAUCACGAAAAUGUUACAGAUAAUUCACAUCAAUCAAGUAACUUACAGUUACUUUAUUAUUUUAGAUUAUAUUCAUGAUUAUUAUUUAAUGUGUUUUUAAUAUGAAUGUACAGCUUUAUGUAAUCCUUUUGUAAUUGAGAAGGAAUUAGAGGUCCAAGUGCUCUGAAAUACUUUCUUUUUUUCAAUUGCCCAACAUUUAGAAGACUCCUGUUUUACAGCUAAUGCCAAUUAUUCCACAUAGACAUACACUUUUUAUCUCUUUAUUGCAUGUCGGGAUAACUAAAAUCUAUCAGAUUUAAAGUUUAAGUUUUAUGGCCAAAGUCAUAUUUCUAUUUCUGCAUGAGUCUAACUAAUGCUCAUGGAUCCACAGUCCCUACCAGAGGAAUUCAUCAUUAGUCAAUCAACAAAUAUUCCUUGGGGAGCCGCCUUGUGCAAGGUAUGAGAAUGGAGCCUUGGAGCUAGAUACACAAAAAAAUCACAGAGCUUUGUCCUUGAUCUCUAGACACUUUUAGUUUUGUUUGGAAAAUAAGACAUAUAGGCAUGGGAUGACAAUUAAAAAUAUAAGGCAAUAAAUGUUGAAUGUCAAAUGAUAGCAUCAGAAACAGUUGCUGUGGAAGUCCACAGGCAACAGCAGUCUGGGGUCAUAUUUGGUUGUGGAAGCCUUGCCCACUGAAUGUUGUUUGUUUCACAAAAGGUUGCCUGAUGAAAUGGGAGAAAAGUGGGGUAAGUCAUAUUCCCUUGCUACUUGAGUGUGAUUUGAGAGCUAGCAACUUCAGCAACACCUGGGAGCCUGUUAGACCUGCAGAAUCUCAAGCACGACCCAGGACUGACUGAGUCAGAAUCUGCAUUUCAACAAGAUCCCCAGUGAUUGUGCAUUAAGGUCUCAGAAGCACUGGCCUAUCCUGCAGAUUCACUACAACAAGAAGACGACAGUCUACAACCUGGAAGAAAGCCCUCACUGGAACCUGACCAUGCUGGGACCCGAUCUUAGACUCCAGCCUCCAGCACUGUGAGAAACAAAUGUUUGUUGCUUAAAAGCCACUUAGUCUAUAGUACUUUGUUAUAGUACCCUCAAAGGACUACAGUAGCUUCAAAGCCCUGCAGUGUCGGGUCCACACCAGCCUCCUGAAUGCUGAUCCUGGCUGAUUACAUCCAGCUACACUGGCCUCUUCCUCUUUUCUGAAUGUCCCAGGCCUAUACUCACCUCCAGACCUUUGCACUUGAUACUCCUCUGGUCUUCCCAUGACAGCUCCUUCACUUCUCAGCUCAGACGUCAGCUCCACAGAGAGGCCUCUCCUAACAAUCCCAUCUACAGGGACUGGGUAUCUAAUGUUUUACUGAAGCACUGUUUGCAGAAAGCCUAGCGGGCUCAGAAAACCAGCCAUGCCAUGGUGGGAAGAAAGCCUUGCUGAGAUCCUGUGGCUGAAAACCAUCAUGGGCUUUUGCUUUCAGACUGCCCAUUGCCAACCGAUGCAGGCCCAGAGAAGCAAGGAGGAGUGCUGUUCUGGGAAGGCGGUGGGCACAUAGAUGGAGCUAGACUUGCGACUUCAGGCCCUCAGCAGCCACAUGAUCUUGCAGCUGUGGGCCAUGCACCUGCUUCUUGGGCCCAUGAUUAACCAGAUGUUCAGCUCCUUAAAGACAGACUUCGGGGCCCUUGGCUGGCAGGGGAUGCAAUCUGCAGAUGAGAAGCUCUGAGAAGCAGUUCUCAAAGCCAGGAUCCAGAGGCUCAGCCAUGUGAGUUUCCUGUGAGAGGGAAAAGGCAGGAGCAUAGAGGCCACUGAAGUUGUUCUCAAAAGCCCCAAGAUACCUUUGGUCUCAGUGGAGGCAUCCAGGACACAGCUGUCUUCACUUCUUCACUCAGUCAUUUAGAAAUUGUUCAGUGAGCACCCACCCUGUAUAAUUCACUGCUGCUGCAGCUGAGCUCAACAUGGUGUCAUCUAGGGGAGGAGCUUGAAGAGGUUGUGUUAAGGAAGAACCACGAGAGGAGUGCCCAGUUGGAUGUGACCCCGGAUGUGUAGGCAUCCAGGAGGCUGAAAGAAGGCUGACCCAGGGCCUGAUCACUUGACAAUGGACAUGCUACCUCACAGAGCAUAACACCACAACUAACACAUCCUGAGCCCUCAAUCAAUGUUGUGCAAUAAAGGAAUAAACCUGGAUGUCUUUCCUGUAACCAAACAUUGGACUAUUCAUCAACUGUGCACUUUUUGUUCCCCAACGAGCACAAGGGUUUGGACUGCACCAUCCCCACUCUUUCUUGACUCUCUCUGUACACCAUAAAUGCAUGGUUCAGGGUGAUUUUGCUGGGCAAGGGUGAUGGUUUGACUAUUUGUGUCCCUCCAAAAUUCAUGUUGACACUUAAUGCCCAUUGUGGUGGUAUUAAGAGGUAGAGACUUUCGGGAAGUGAGUAAGUCACGAGGCCUCUUUAUAAAAGAAGCUUCAGGCCAGGUGCAGUGGCUUAUGCAUGUAAUCCCAGUACUUUGACAGGCUGAGAUGAGAGGAUCAUUGAGCCUAGGAUUUCAAAACUAGCCUGGGCAACAUAAUGAGACCCUAUCUCUAUUAAAAGUAAAACAUUAGCUGGGCAUGGUGCGGUGCACCUGUAGUCUCAGCUACUUUGGAAGCUGAGGCAGGAGGAUCACUUGAGCCCAGGAGGUUGAGGCUGCAGUGAGCUAUGAUUGCACCACCGCACUUCGGCCUAGGCAACAGCGUGAGACCUUGUCACACACACACACACACACACACACACACACAAUAGUUUCAGACAAUAGCCUGGCCUGGCCUUCCCAUCUCUUCUGCUGUGAAAACACAACAUGCAUCCCUUUUUGCCUCUUCAGCACAUGAGGAUAUAGCAAAAAGGCCCAGGCCCUCAACAGGCACUGAAUCUGCUGGUACCUUGAUCUUGGACUUCAGAGCCUCCAGAACCAUAAGAAAUAAAUUUCUAUUCUUUAUAAAUUACUGAAUCUGUGGCAUUUUGUUACAGCAGCACAAACAGACUAGGACAGGGAGGUUGGGAGUGCACCGUGUGAUGUGUCUUUGCAAAGUCUACCCUGUACCAAGCUGACUGGCCCUAUGGGAUUUGUUAGCAACUAGCUGGGCCAGAUCAUUAGAAAACAAUUUGAAAUGCAGAAUGAGGAAUGGUGGCAAAUUUGGCUAUUUUUCUCAGGGUUUUGUUCAGCACCAUUUGCUGCCAUGCUACCAGCAUAGUGGUUUGUGUGGCCUGUACAUCCAGAAUACCUGGGUUCAAAUCCUGCUCCCUGCCUGUGUGAUCUUGAGCAGGUGAUAUGAGCUGCCUGUGCCAAGUUCCGCAUCUGUAAAGUGAGGGUGGUAAAAGGACCUACCUCGUAGAGUUGCUAUGAGAAUGAAGUAAGUUGGCGGGUGAAAAGGUGGUGAAUAUUCGUAUUAUUGAUGUUAUUAUCACUGUAAGCAGCAGUGGCAGCAGCUGCCAAGCCUCACAUUCCAACCUGAGAAUUUCCAAGAGAAGGCAGAUGAUCUUGUAAAACUCCAGGAAGUCACAUCUCUGAUUUCCAGCCCUCCUGUCUACAGAGCCAAACCUUUCCGCAGAACUCUCCCUGCUACCAUAAAAUGCUGCCUCCACAGAGGGAACCCUCCCCAGGCACAAGGCAGAUGGUUGCUCCGUUCCAUGUGGCCCCUCACUGCAGUGCAGUGAUGAUGUUUGGGCUGAGCAAAAGACUUCAGUGCUCAGAGGAGAAGGAGCAGGAGGCUUUGCCAGCUUCCAUUUGCAUGAGAAAAGAACUGAGAGGAGAGGGGAGAAGGGGGAAGAUGCUUGCUUCCUCCUUCCAUCUUGGCAUUCACAGAGCAGGCUGCAUUUGAACACUGCCGUGCUAUGUACAUUGGAUCCAUGCAAUGUUACAUAAGUAUUUCAUAAGGGACAAGGUGACUUUGUGUUUUUUUCACCUGUUCUUCUCCUCUGAUCCCAGAAGCUGGGAAGUAGGCUGGAUGCAGAGAAAAGAGCAUUGUUCUCAAGUCUGCUUCACUGCUUAAAGACUAAGAAGGAAAAAAAAUAGAAAGGAAAACAAGAAUCAUUGUCUCUUUUGUUUUCUCUUUAAAAUAUAAAAGGAACUCUGAAACCAAAGUUCGGAUGACAUCGUAUGACAUUUUCCUUUCCACAUGGAAAAAUUUUGAAUAAAAGAUCUGUUUUCUGGGUUGACACUUCUGGGCUCUUUCAAUCUCCAGUAGCAGCAAACUGCUGUCAUUUCUGGAAAUAAGGAUGGCAAGACUCAGGGGGUUAAUCUGCCUGAUUUUGCUCUCCAAGGGUGACAGCGUAAAGCUCUUUGGCUCUGCAUCCACAGUAAUAGCUGAGGGCAGCGCUGCCCAACAGAACUUUCUGUGGUGAUGGAAGCCUUCUCUAAUCUGUGCUGCACAUCUGGCAGCCACGAGCCACACGUGGCUAUUGAGCGCUGGAAGUGGGGCUGCUGUGACUGUGGAACUGAGUUAACUUCACUGUUAAUUUAAAUUUAAAUGGCCACGUGUGGUCUGUGGCUACAGUAUUGGCAGGUGCAUGAGAGCAAUAGCAAAACAAACUGUAAGUAGCAUCCACAGAUGUUGACUGAAUGCAUCACACAGAUAAGAUGGAAAAGGAAGAGCCUAAAAGUUCUGAAGAGUGAUGUUCCCCUUCCACAGGAGCAGUUUAUGUGUCAGUGGCAAUGAUGUUUUAUGAAUAUUUGGGAUGACCAUUUUCUGUUUCAUCUUUCAGCUGUGGGAGUAGCAGUCUACUUUAUUUCUUUUCAAUUUUUUUUUAGAGAUGGAGUCUUGCUAUGUUGCCCAGGGUGAUCUUGAACUCCUGGCCUCACAUGAUCCUCCUGCCUCAACCUCCCAAAGUGUUGGGAUUACAGGCAUGAACCACCAUGCCUAGCUCAGUCUACUUUUUUUAAAAGAGGAAUGAGAUCAAGAUCACAUUUCAAAAAAUAUGUUGUCUCCUAAAGUAAGUAAUAUUUCUACCUGGAAGCUCUUCCUUCAAGUCUAAAGUCAAAGGGAAAGACAAUAAUUUCUUCUAGGCUUUUGAGGUGAUGAUCAUGGGGUUUGCUUAGAUGUCAGAUCCACGAGUCACCCUAAAGCCUGAAGAGACAGAGUAGAUGGGAGCUGGUGUUGGGUGAACACUGGACUGGUCCCAGGGCUGCGGUUCUUGAUCAGUGUAAUGCAGGAAGGAGUCGCCAAUGUGGCCACGCUCCUGGUAGGGGUUCUUUGUAGGUACUAGAGGCUCAGUAGCUGUCCUGAGUCAAAAGACCAAAGAAAAAGGGAAGCCUCAAGGAGAGAUGAGAGGACAGCAGAUGAAAAUGAGCCUGCAGGAAACCAAGCUCUGAGGAGAAAUGGGCAGGCAGCCAAGAGCAGGGCAGAAACUGCAGCAGUAGCAGCGGCAGCAAUGAAGUCUCCAAGUUAUGAGUGGCAGGCUCUGAGAACAAUGAUGGAGCAGGAAGUUAAUGCAGAGGGCAGGCAGAGAGCCCCUGAGACGAUAAGCAAGAUGAGUGGAGAAAACCGACAGGACUUAGACCUGGGCAUGGGCAGCAGAGGACCUUAUCCCAGCAGCAGAGGGACUGGCAGUUAAUGACGAUGCUCGAACAUCUGCUAUACGUUGGGAAUUUUGCACGCAUUUAAUAUUUUGCAUGCAGAUAAUAUUAUUCCCAUUUUAUGAAUGAAUGAGCCCAGACUUAAAGUGCUGGAGGGAUUUAAUAUUCUCCUGGAUCUAUCUGCCUUGCUGGCUACUCCUUCAGGCUUCCUUUUGAGUUCAUUCUUCUCUUACCACGUCUGUAAAUGUUAGAAUUUUUUAAGGAAUGUUACACAGUUGAGUCGUCUUCUCUUCUCACCCCCUACUUACUCAGCACAGUAUAAACCACUCUCUGGGAACUCCAGAAUUUUGUCUCUAUCUGGAAUCUCCCCUAGGAAUGGCAAAAUUAACCUAAAGAAUGUACAAGGAAGGAAAAAAUAGACAUAAACCUAGGUAUUUUUAUUUUGUUAAUUAGAAAAGUAGAAAGAACAGAUAAUGAUUCCAAGAGUUGCUUUUCAUUUAACCAAUAAAAUAACAAACCCUUAACUGACCCAAUAAAGAAAAUGGGAGCAGUCACAAAAUUAGGAAUGAGAAAAUAUUUCAAGAGACCACUCUGCUCAAUGCUAUGUUGAAACUUUUGAAAACCUAAAUACCAAUUAAAUUUUUCCAGUAAAAUAUUUAUGACCAAGGUUUACUCUACAAGAGAGUCUACUACUAGAGUUGCCAGAAUUAGUAUACAGAAAUUUGAAUUUUAGAUAAAUAAUUUUUUAGUAUGUCUUACGCAACAGUUAGGACAUACUUUUACUAAAAAAAAAAAAAAGUCAUUGGUUGUUAUUCUGAAAUUCAAAUUUAAUUGGAAAUCCUGCAUUUUAACUGGCCGAUCUAUUAAAACAGAUAAAUUAUUGUGGAGAAACAAUAGGAACUUGUCAAAAGCUUUAAAAACAUCAAGAUCAGAAGUUUCAGGUAAAGCGUAUGAAUUAAAUUCAAGCAAUAUUUUCAACUCUAUUUAAAUGAUUCCAAAGCAUAAAAAAACAGCUUCUAAGACAUUUUUAUAAAGCUACAAAGACUGAAGUCAAACCUGACAAGGAGAGUUAAAAAAUGUGGGCAAAACAGUGGUGAAUAUUCAUGAUAAAAUCUUACUGUGAUAUUCACAAACAUGGGGGAAUGAUAUUUUCUUUAAAAUCGACAGACUUUUUAGAGAAAAAAGGCAGUUGAAGAAAUUAUCAACAGUGAUUUUACCAAGUUCUUUGUAUUUUUUCUCAGUCUUAACAUGCCUAUAUAUAUUAUGUACAUAAUUCUUAGCUGUAAGUCAUUUUUAUAAUAGAUGCUAUUUUCUGCAAGCCUCUCAAAUUAAAACCCAUUGUUCUGAAAGUACUAAUCAAUGCAAUUACAUAAGGGAAAAAAUGAGACAUAAAUACUUCAACCACGGAGGCAAAAUUAUUACUGUUUUCAAACAAUGUAGUUAUUUACCUAGAAACUGCAAAAGAAUCAAUUGGAGGAAUUCUGUUACCAGCAGAAGAUAGUUCAGUUAGGUGGAUUGGUUUCACAAUGAAUAUCCACAUUCAGUGGCAUUUCAGUAAACAAAUAGUAUUCAGCUAUAAAAUAUAAUGGAGCAAAUUAUCUCAUUUAUAAUAGCAUAAAAAAGAUAAUGUGCCUAGACAUAAAUUUAAUUAAAAAUAUAGGCUAGGUAUGUUGGCUCAUGCCCAUAAUCUCAAGACUUUGGAGGGCUGGAGGAUCCCUUGAACCCAAGAGUUUGAGACCGUGAGACCCCAACUCUACAAAAAAAUAAAAUUAGCUCGGCAUGGUGUGCAUGCCUGUCAUCUCAGCUAUUGUGGAGUCUGAGGCAGGAGGAUUGUUUGAGCCCAGGAGUUUGAGGCUGUAGAGAUCUGAUUGUGCCACUGCACUCCAGCCUGGGUGACAGAGUGAGACCCUAUCUCUAAAAAUAAAUGGGGGGCUAUUAAAUAAAACAACAACGUGUAACACUUCUUGAAGGACAAAAAAAAAAUAAAAAUAAAUAAGUAGAAAGACCUGUCAAAGACCUAUCAUAUUCUUGGGUAGGAAGAUUCAAUACUGUAAAUGCAUAAGUUUACCCUAAAUUAAAUCCAUAGAUCCAAUUUAAUCCUCAUCAAAAUGCCAACAGGCACUUUUAUAUCUUGAUAAAGUAUUAAAGUUACUUGGAAACAUAAGUUUGAGGAAACUCCAUAGACUCCCGUAUGCAAUAAUCCAUUAAUAACCCAGUAAUAUUGGGGAGGAUACACAAGAAGCUGUUUAUAAUAUUCACCUCUUAGCAGUGGAAGUGAGGGGUAAAGACUUGAGCCAAAGAUGUAUUUUCAUGUUAUACUCAUCUAUGCUAUUUGAAUUUUUCCACAGGUGCAAAUAUUACUUAUAUGAUUAAAAAUAGUUAUUUUAAAAGAACAUUUCCAUUAUAUUGAGUACUGAUUUGUAACCCUCUCUGCUCAUUAGAAUCAUAUAGGGAGCUUUGGAAAGACACCAGGUCUCAGCACUUGCCUCCAGAUUCUAAUUCAAUUUGGCUGUGUUAGGGCCCAGGCAAUGGCAUUUUUUACAAAAGUUCUCACUGAUUCUGAUGUGGAGCCAGGGCCGAGAGCCACCACUGUCAAGUAACCCAUGGCAGCAUUUUCCAACUUUUGGUCACAACCCUUCGGUUAGGAAAUCAACUUAAUGGCUUGGGACCAGAGUUAAAAACAAACAAACAACAACAACUGAAACCAACUCAAUUGAGCAGAAACUUGUGCAUGCCUGUUGUGUUUAAGACAUGUCUCUUUCUGGGGGAUGUCAUCCAAAACAUUGGAAAACCCCUACCUUAAGUGGUUCAGAUCUUUCAGACUUUCUGAGACAUUUUAUCAGAAUUUGUGUGAACUAUUAAAGGCUUUUUACUGUUUAAAAGUUAUAUUGUAAUUCUGACUUUUGUUCACGUAUUUGAUGAUUCAAUUAUUUAUUCAUUACAUAGUCAAAGGUAGAAAAUUACAUGUAAUUACUUGUGCUUAUCUGAUAAGCAUAGUGACUGAUGUAUGUAAAUGCUCAAUAUGUGAUGG
rnacentral:lncRNA from 10 species